rnacentral:rRNA from 1 species
GAAAGGCUGACUAAUACCGGCUAUAUGUAUGGUUGUUGGACCAUACAGGAAAGGUGGCCUCUUCUUGAAAGCUAUCACAUUGGGAUGAGUUUGCGUACCAUUAGCUAGUUGGUGGGGUAAUGGCCUACCAAGGCGACGAUGGUUAGCGGGUCUGAGAGGAUGAUCCGUCACACUGGCACUGGAACACGGGCCAGACUCCUACGGGAGGCAGCAGUGAGGAAUAUUGCGCAAUGGGGGAAACCCUGACGCAGCGACGCCGCGUGAGUGAGGAAGGCCUUCGGGUCGUAAAGCUCUGUCAGAAGGGAAGAAAUGCUAUACGGUUAAUACCCGUAUAGUUUGACGGUACCUUCAGAGGAAGCACCGGCUAACUCCGUGCCAGCAGCCGCGGUAAUACGGAGGGUGCAAGCGUUGUUCGGAAUCACUGGGCGUAAAGGGCGCGCAGGCGGCUUGAUUAGUCAGAUGUGAAAGCCCACGGCUUAACCGUGGAAGUGCAUUUGAAACUGUCAGGCUUGAGUAUCAGA